rnacentral:rRNA from 1 species
CCUUUCUGAAGAACUGUAAUGGUCAUUAAUUUGGUGUUGCAGGGAAACAGGACUGUUACUUUGAAAAAAUUAGAGCGUUUAAAGCAGGCUAACGCUUGAAUACAUUAGCAUGGAAUAAUGAAAUAGGACGUUCGAACCUAUUUUGUUGGUUUCUAGGAUUGACGUAAUGAUUAAUAGGGAUAGUUGGGGGCAUUAGUAUUCAAUUGUCAGAGGUGAAAUUCUUGGAUUUAUUGAAGACUGACUACUGCGAAAGCAUUUGCCAAGGAUGUUUUCAUUAAUCAAGAACGAAAGUUAGGGGAUCGAAGACGAUCAGAUACCGUCGUAGUCUUAACCAUAAACUAUGCCGACUAGGGAUCGGAUGAUGUUAAUUUUUUAAUGACUCAAUCGGCGCCUUACG